AGAGAGAGACAUGCGCGCAUAUCAAUAAGCGGAGGAAAAGAAACUAACAAGGAUUCCCUUAGUAACGGCGAGUGAAGCGGGAAGAGCUCAAAUUUGAAAUCUUCAAGGUUUUACCUUGACGAAUUGUAGUUUAAAGAAGUGUUUUCUGCUGAAGUUUUGGUAAAAGUUCUUUGGAAUAGGACAUCAUCAGAGGGUGAGAAUCCCGUAUUUGACCAUUAUUUUCAGCUUUGUGAUACACUUUCAAAGAGUCGGAUUGUUUGGGAAUGCAGUCCAAAAUGGGUGGUAAAUUUCAUCUAAAGCUAAAUAUUGGCGAGAGACCGAUAGCGAACAAGUACCGUGAGGGAAAGAUGAAAAGAACUUUGAAAAGAGAGUUAAACAGUACGUGAAAUUGUCAAAAGGGAAGCGUUUGACACCAGUGUUGUUUUCUCGAAAAUCAAUUAAAAAUGGCUCGAUUUUGUAGUUGUUGAGACCUUAAAAGCUCACUGUACAUUUUUCGUGUCUUUUUUAAUGCACUUUUCGUUUAACAAGUCAACAUCAGUUUCUUUUGUUGUAAAAGGGUCAUUGGAAGGUGGCUUUCUUUUCGGAGAAAGUGUUUAUAGCCUUUGGCCUCUGCAAUCGAAGAGACUGAGGUCUGCAGCGUAGACUCUUCGGGGUUAGAUACAUUUGUGCUAAGUUAUAGCUUUUUAUAGACAACUUGUUGACUAUAAUUAGUCUUGUAGCUUACUCGCUUAUGCUAUUUUACCUACGCUUAGGAUGUUGAAGUCAUCGUAUCGCGC
rnacentral:rRNA from 1 species